UAGUAAAUUAAAGGGAGUAAAUGUAAGACGAAGUUAGUGCAAUUUUAAAAGGAGGAUCAAUAAUAUCAUAUGACUUCCGGAUUGAACAUAUCGUGUUUAGUAUAUUGAUAUAACCUAAAGUUACACAAGCAUGCCGCCUAAAAAGAACGCCGGUGCCGCGAAGACUAGUAAAGGUAAAUCCUCGGAGGACAGUGGAAAAACAGAAAAGAAAGGAGGAAAUGCAGUGAAAGUUAGACAUAUACUGUGCGAAAAGCAAUCGAAGAUAUUGGAGGCAUUGGAAAAAUUAAAAGCUGGUCAGAAGUUCAAUGAAGUCGCAGCGACAUACAGUGAGGACAAAGCCAGAUCUGGGGGUGAUCUUGGUUGGAUGACACGGGGCUCUAUGGUAGGACCCUUUCAAGAUGCUGCCUUUGCGUUGCCAAUUUCUAAUCUGGCAUCUCCGAUUUACACAGAUCCACCAGUGAAAACAAAAUUUGGAUAUCACAUCAUAAUGGUAGAAGGCUUAAAUGUCUGAAGAAGACCGUCCUCUUUCUUGAAGAAGACCGUCCUCAAACCGGUUCUACGAUUCCAACAUUAUACAGGAUAUUAUCUGUUGAAUUUACCUGACACGAUCAGCUGCACCGUGAUUCUAAUCAGCAAGAUUAGGCGUUUCAGUGUCUAAACGCACUGAUCUUCACAGAAGAAACUUCAAUAGGAUCCUCUACCUGAUGCUGUCCUGCAGACGCUCAACGAAGAACUGCAGUGUUUCCUUGGCGUAGGCACCCC